GAGCAGCAGACACGCUGCAAAGAGCUCCUUUUCUCCCACCUCUCAGCUGAUCGGCGGGUGGGCGGGGCUUCCACGGAGGUCUGGUGUAGGCCUCUGUGAAGCCUGAACUCCAGUAGGGCCCAAGCCAGCCAGGAAGGAGGAGGCAGCCAGAGUGUUCUCUGCAGCAGAAGACCCCUUGCUGCCCUGCUUAACCCAGACCAGCAUUUGCCAGGCUGGGGCCUGAUUUAACAUUUCUACAAAAGAGCACUUAAUUUUUUAUGCCAGAGAGGACAUGACAGUUAGGUAGUGAUUUUAAAUGAAACGAGACAGCAAGUGUGUAUCAAACAAAUUCCCACCUUGACAUCAAGAAGUAACACAAGGUGUUAUGAAAGCAACUUGAGGGAAGUAUAAAAACAAUAUGAAAGUAAAAAAUGGCAAGUGGAAGCACUGCUUAAGUGAGGAAGAGAGUUAGACGGCAGGAAUAUAACUUUAAAAAAUAAUGUUCUGACUGUGCCCUGACACACUGAAAGCAAUGCAUUCUUAGUUCUAACUGGAAGGAGGCAAGCCCACCAACUGGACCUUCUUUGCACGGCAGGUUUGGAAACAGCUUUUUAUCUGAGAAUUCUUCAGACCCUAGGAUGAUGAAAGAGGCGAUGGCAAGCCAGUUGGGGACCCGGUUAAGAGAGCGUUUGCCUGAGGCUACCUGGUGAGUUAAUGGCUGAGCUAACAUUUGAGCAUGGGACCUCCUAGUUCAGGCCUGUUUUGAACAGGACAUUGCAUUAUACUUAUUUAUAAAUUGCAUUUUUAUCUUGCUCUUCCUCCAAGAUGCUCUGGGGAACAUAUGUGGAUCAUGCAUUAUUCUUUAAACUUCCUUGUUAAAGAAAUGCUGUCAUGUAUGUAUGUAUGUUUCUUAACUACUGUUAUGACUGGUCAGUGAUGCUGUAUCAUAACUAUACUUACUAUGUAGUAAGUCCUAUUGAACUUAACUGUAAACUAACUUGCAUAGAAUUUGUUCUGGAAGUGUGUUACUAUUCUGGCAACCUUUUCUUUCUUUCUUUGUUCCCAUUGUAGAUAGUAGAGAUUUGCAAACUGAUUUGAGCUUGAAAUAAAACACCCUUAA